AGAGUUUGAUCAUGGCUCAGAUUGAACGCUGGCGGCAGGCCUAACACAUGCAAGUCGAGCGGUAGAGAGAAGCUUGCUUCUCUUGAGAGCGGCGGACGGGUGAGUAAUGCCUAGGAAUCUGCCUGGUAGUGGGGGAUAACGUUCGGAAACGGACGCUAAUACCGCAUACGUCCUACGGGAGAAAGCAGGGGACCUUCGGGCCUUGCGCUAUCAGAUGAGCCUAGGUCGGAUUAGCUAGUUGGUGAGGUAAUGGCUCACCAGGGCGACGAUCCGUAACUGGUCUGAGAGGAUGAUCAGUCACACUGGAACUGAGACACGGUCCAGACUCCUACGGGAGGCAGCAGUGGGGAAUAUUGGACAAUGGGCGAAAGCCUGAUCCAGCCAUGCCGCGUGUGUGAAGAAGGUCUUCGGAUUGUAAAGCACUUUAAGUUGGGAGGAAGGGUUGUAGAUUAAUACUCUGCAAUUUUGACGUUACCGACUGAAUAAGCACCGGCUAACUCUGUGCCAGCAGCCGCGGUAAUACAGAGGGUGCAAGCGUUAAUCGGAAUUACUGGGCGUAAAGCGCGCGUAGGUGGUUUGUUAAGUUGGAUGUGAAAUCCCCGGGCUCAACCUGGGAACUGCAUUCAAAACUGACUGACUAGAGUAUGGUAGAGGGUGGUGGAAUUUCCUGUGUAGCGGUGAAAUGCGUAGAUAUAGGAAGGAACACCAGUGGCGAAGGCGACCACCUGGACUAAUACUGACACUGAGGUGCGAAAGCGUGGGGAGCAAACAGGAUUAGAUACCCUGGUAGUCCACGCCGUAAACGAUGUCAACUAGCCGUUGGAAGCCUUGAGCUUUUAGUGGCGCAGCUAACGCAUUAAGUUGACCGCCUGGGGAGUACGGCCGCAAGGUUAAAACUCAAAUGAAUUGACGG
rnacentral:rRNA from 1 species